rnacentral:rRNA from 1 species
AUUGAACGCUGGCGGCAGGCCUAACACAUGCAAGUCGAGCGGAUGAAGGGAGCUUGCUCCUGGAUUCAGCGGCGGCCGGGGGGGUAAUGCCUAGGAAUCUGCCUGGAAGUGGGGGAUAACGUCCGGAACGGGGCGCUAAUCCCGCAAACGUCCUGAGGGAGAAAGGGGGGGACCUUCGGCCUCAACGCUAUAAGAUAACCCUAGGUCGGUUUGGCUAGUUGGUGGGGUAAAGGCCUACCAAGCCGACGUUCCGUAACUGGUCUGAGAGGAUGAUCAGUCACACUGGAACUGGGACACGGUCCAGACUCCUACGGGAGGCAGCAGUGGGGAAUAUUUGACAAUGGGCGAAAGCCUGAUCCAGCCAUGCCGCGUGUGGGAAGAAGGUCUUCGGAUUGUAAAGCACUUUAAGUUGGGAGGAAGGGCAGUAAGUUAAUACCUUGCUGUUCUGACGUUACCAACAGAAUAAGCACCGGCUAACUUCGUG